GACGAACGCUGGCGGCGUGCCUAAUACAUGCAAGUAGAACGCACAGUUUAUACCGUAGCUUGCUACACCAUAGACUGUGAGUUGCGAACGGGUGAGUAACGCGUAGGUAACCUGCCUGGUAGCGGGGGAUAACUAUUGGAAACGAUAGCUAAUACCGCAUAAUAUUAAUUAUUCCAUGAUAAUUAAUUGAAAGUUGCAAUUGCACCACUACCCGAUGGACCUGCGUUGUAUUAGCUAGUAGGUGAGGUAACGGCUCACCUAGGGGACGAUACAUAGCCGACCUGAGAGGGGGAGAGGCCACACUGGGACGGAGACACGGCCCAGACUACUACGGGAGGAAGCAGUAGGGAAUCUUCGGCAAUGGACGAAAGUCGGACCGAGCAACGCCGCGUGAGUGAAGAAGGGUUUCGGAUCGUAAAGCUCUGUUGUAAGAGAAGAACGGGUGUGAGAGUGGAAAGUUCACACUGUGACGGUAUCUUAACAGAAAGGGACGGCUAACUACGUG
rnacentral:rRNA from 1 species